rnacentral:tRNA from 2 species
GGCAAGAUGGCCGAGCGGUCCAAGGCGCCAGGUUCAGGUCCUGGUCUCAGAAAUGGGGCGUGAGUUCAAAUCUCACUCUUGUCA